AUUCGCAUUUCUUCAUUCCACAGAUAAAAAUUCUAUUAUAAAUUUUCUUUAUAUACCUGCAUUUCCGAACAGAUGUUAUUUCACACAGUUUACCGGUUUAUCCAUAAUGCAUUUAGUUAAGUUCAAAUUACAAGACUAUGAAAAGAGUCCAAAAAGCUAUUACAGUUUUAGGUUAAGUUAGGUUAAGAACAAGAAGACUUAAGUUUUAUUAAAAAUGCUCAAUUCUGAAGAUAAUAACGAAAUGAAUUUCUUUUUGAAAAAGAUUCUUAAGAAAUCCUUUAAGAAAAAAGAAUUCAAAAAACGUCUGAAGUUAACAGAAUAGCGACUCAAUGAAGCGUCUGAAGUUGAUUCUUACCGAUACAUUCAGGACUUGUAGAACGUACUAGUCGUCAAGCCCGUCGGAGGAAUCUAAUUUUAUAACGACCUAUAUUUAGCUGAAACUUAUUCCAGCAACGGUGUGCACCGGGUCACCGGACUUCUAUUUUACCAAUGCGAUAUCUCGAUCCAGCGUUAGUUUAACCAAGAAUUAGCAGAUUUUGCUCAACUACUAGAUAGCCUUUACUGGUUUUAUUUUUGCGCCAGUAUGACUGAUAUGAAUAUGUAGAACAUAGAAUGAAGUAUUGAGUUGCUUUUCUCAGAGGAAAAGAUUUAGAAUUUUUUUUUGUUCUCAUGUGCAAAAGAGGAAUUUACAUUCAAUUACUAAUGAAAGAAGGAUUUAUCAGAUUUUUUAAUGAUAAAUUUAUAUUUAUUAUUGUAUUAUCUCCAUUAUUUUAUAGUAUAUUAAGAAAAAUAUAUGUUAAUUUCAGUUUUUCUUAAUAAAUUAUUAAAAUAAAA